UGGAAGUUUUGUCAAGAAGUCAUAUCGCCUCCACUGUACACAUGGGGAAGUUAAGACCCAGCCAAUCUGAAAGAUCUGCAUUCAGACCAAGCUUCCAAUGCACACAGUGUACUCUGAAUCUUUAAUUCCCCAAAUGUGCACAGGGACUUCCCUAGUUAGUUUCAGCUGUUGACUUCAUGCAAACUAGAGUCACUCAGGAAGAAGCCAUCACAAGUGAGACAUUGCCUUCAUCGGACUGCCUUGGAUGUAGCAGGUCACGCCCUGCUGAGGGUGGUGCCAUUACCUAGCUUGAGGCUUGCUGAGCACAGAAUCCCCUGCUAGAAGGAGCUCCUGCAGAUGGCAGGACUGGAGAGAGCCUGAGUCCAAACAGCCUUGUGAGACCGUGCAGGUUGUUGAAGAACCAGUAAGGAUUCCACAUAGGAUACCUCUGCUUCUGGAAUGACUUCUUGAUUGUUCUAAACCCAUCAUUGUGGCUGUCAAAGACGUGACUUCAGUCCCACUCUUAACGUCAAAAGCUGAGCAAGUAAAAUAGCCAUGCCUGAUCCUCUCCAAGAAGACUAGUAACACCAUGAGGACAGGGGCCCUGGGGUUUUGUUGAGGGAGGGGUGGUUCAUUUGUUUGCUUGCUUGCUGGCUUGUUCUGAUAUUGCUGUUAGCUAUUACGACAUGACUCAAGCUCAUCACAGACAUCAGUAUUUUUCUAGCAGCAGAUAUGAGUGAAACAUGCAAGAGCC
rnacentral:lncRNA from 1 species